GGGGAAUUUUCCGCAAUGGGCGAAAGCCUGACGGAGCAAUACCGCGUGAGGGAGGAAGGCUCUUGGGUUGUAAACCUCUUUUCUCAGGGAAUAAGAACUGAAGGUACCUGAGGAAUCAGCAUCGGCUAACUCCGUGCCAGCAGCCGCGGUAAUACGGAGGAUGCAAGCGUUAUCCGGAAUGAUUGGGCGUAAAGCGUCCGCAGGUGGUUUAUCAAGUCUGCUGUCAAAGAGUUUGGCUCAACCAAAUAAAGGCAGUGGAAACUGACAGACUGGAGUGCGGUAAGGGCAGAGGGAAUUCCUGGUGUAGCGGUGAAAUGCGUAGAGAUCAGGAAGAACACCGGUGGCGAAAGCGCUCUGCUGGGCCGUAACUGACACUGAGGGACGAAAGCUAGGGGAGCGAAUGGGAUUAGAUACCCCAUAGUCA
rnacentral:rRNA from 1 species